GAUGAAGAACGUAGCGAAAUGCGAUACGUAAUGUGAAUUGCAGAAUUCAGUGAAUCAUCGAGUCUUUGAACGCACAUUGCGCCCCCUGGUAUUCCGGGGGGCAUGCCUGUCCGAGCGUCAUUGCUGCCCUCAAGCCCGGCUUGUGUGUUGGGUCUCGUCCCCCUUCCCGGGGGGCCGGGCCCGAAAGGCAGCGGCGGCACCGUGUCCGGUCCUCGAGCGUAUGGGGCUUUGUCACCCGCUCUGUAGGCCCGGCCGGCGCUUGCCGAUCAACCAAAACUUUUUUCCAGGUUGACCUCGGAUCAGGUAGGGAUACCCGCUGAACUUAAGCAUAUCAAUAAGCGGAGGA
rnacentral:misc_RNA from 1 species